CGUACAUCAUCAGGAGCACAAGAAGGGUUCCUUCAAAACCCUAAAACCCACAAAUUCAACAAAAUCAAAGGGAAAUAGAGCUAGAGAAUUGGGGCUUUAACUAAAUUCGUGAUCACCUCAGUAAAGGGAUCAUAAGACAAAGGAAUCGAGUCUUUAAGCGGACAAACCGGAGUGGACACGCGCUUGAAGGGAAUGCUUUAAAGGUGAAUGUCGAGGGUCCCGGAUGAAGAUCAAGCAUCGAGCAAGAACCGAACACACGUUAAACAAAGCUUCCGCAAUGUUGUUUCGCCGUUAUUCUAAAACGGCGAAUUAAACCACAUCAUGUUGUAUCACCUUAAAUUGUAAAAGUUUUUAAUAAACCGGUAUUUUAGAAUGAA